rfam:Mycobacterium lacus strain DSM 44577 contig_89, whole genome shotgun sequence.
AGCGCUGCGCAAGUGGGCCGACGGUCGACUCCGGCGGCGCAGGGGUUUCAGCCCGGCCCCGGAGAGCUGCAG